AGAAAGCAAAGCAAACAAACAUGAAGCUCGAGGUCGUCCCCUCCUAAUAAAAGAAAAUAAAACAAAAUGAAAUUAGUCUUGCUAGCCUAUACUAUGCAUCCAUUGAUGUUGCCGCGUCCUCCAAAUACAAGUAAUUUGGGGCAUUCCCCGGGUUAAAAUAUUUAUAAAGUCCAUCGGGCUUUCCGGGGAUAAAUAAAUCAACUACGGGACAACCUCUCACCUCGAAACCAAAAGCAAAUAAAAAUCCUAAGAUUGCCUACCCAUGUGUGGUCGGCCUAAAGCAUGCUCCUAGCGACUUGAAAAGAAAGUAAAUUAAGCUAAAAUAAAGAUCAAGUGUGAUUUAACCCUCCUUCGCCAAAUGUCGCCGUUCAAAUAAGAGAUGUACACAAAUAAGAGUGACGGAAUUUCAAACAGGACAACAAUCCAAACGAGACACAUUCUUUGAUCAUGUGAUUUAACCCUCCCUCGCCCAAUGUCGCCGUUCAAAUAAGAGAUGCACACAAAUAAGAGGGACGGAAUUCCGAACAGGACAGCAAUCCAAACAAGACACGAAUAAAGAAGUAAUAGACGAUUAAUAUAGCAAGGAAAAAUAAAAUAAAAUAAAAAACUCAAAACAUAAAAGACAAUUGGCAAAUUAACUAUAAAGCUUUCACAGUAACUCACAUUGGGAGAGCAAAAUGCAUCACUGCCGUUGAGCAUUGACAUUAUUAGUAACUUCUAAGCGCUACCACAUAAAGAACAUAUAUAUUUGUUUUAGAGAGUGUUUUAGUCAAAUGCUAGGUGUUCUGACAUUCACAAUCGGAUACCAACUCUAGAAAACACAGGGCAAAACCAAACGAUCCAAAACAAUUGACGACGCCAACGGAUCUUUGUCGACAAAUGAACUAAAAUAGCAAAUCCAACGAUUUCCAUAUUUAUCGUGUAGAACACAAGACGAUUAAACACUAAUAUUUUAAACAGUCACACAUACUAAAUCAAGGAUCAAAGAAUCAGAUUAAACCACCAUCCGACGUGCUAAAACAGGGCAGAAUCGAAGCACUUCAUUUGAAUACCAAAGCAAUACAGAACACCCAAUGAUGUAGCUAUAUCCAAAUGUAAUACUAUAUGAAAAUCAUGAGAUUGUUUCUGUAAACGCCCAAAUUCGAUUAUUUAUCUCUAAAACAUGUCAAGCAAAUUUAGAUUUCUAAUCAUAUUCCGAACCAUCAUUAACAGAGUAAGAAAACGAAGACGAACCUGGAAAUUAAGCUUUCGAUUAAUUCUGUAGGAAUCGAGUACACAGAAGAAGAUUUGGCGACGAAUUUUAGCGCGAAAAUAGCUUAUGAAUAUCCAAUCAACAACGAAGCAACAUGGCAGGGAACCAACUCGGACAUGAACCAAAACUCGAACGAUGAAGUCGACCUCGGAUCAAUUGAUCUCCAUGUCAAUAACAGCAAUAACCAGAAAGAGAAACUAAAAAUAUUUUGUUUGAUAUUUUUCUUAUUUUCAAGAAUGGAACAACACUCAAACAAAAAUGAAACUCAAAUUAUUUUUGUGUUUUUUGGAAUGCCAAUUAUAUGCGAAACGGAAUAUCUGAGGAGAAAACCCAAAAUAACCAAGAACUCUAGUUUUUUUUUUCCUAAUUUUUCUCUCUAAUUUCUGUCCGAGAACCUCAGUCUCCAAAAACCUCUCAAAUAUAUAUCACACCCUAGAAGCUUUUUUCCUCUUCUCCAAGAAAUUCCAAAACCGUGUAGUCCCCCAAAUACCAAAAAUCCUUUUCAAAAAAUAAAAAUCAGAAAAAAUGGAGAUUGUUGGACGAAAAUUUCAUCCAAUGAUUCCCAUUCUUCCCGAGUUUAUUCAAGCGUUCGGAAUUGUGUUUAAACAAAAGAAAUAAAAGAAGAUAUCUCACACAAAUCGGAUUGGAAUGAUGAUAUUAAGUGGGAUUUUGCUACGUGGAAGAAAGAUAAGAGAGGAGAGGGGGGCCAUGAGGGGACCAGUGGGUUAACUCGCCCGGUUGGCGAGUUUUCUGGCGAGUUUAGAUGCGACAGAAGCGGAGAUGACAAAAGGGGGUGGCGGCUGGUCUUGUUAGAUUAGGAUUAAGGUCUUUGGGAAAUAUUGGGUUUAUAUUUGGGGGUGUGGGGAAUUAAUCUGGUUCGUUGGAUUAAUUUGGACUGAGGGCUAAGAUUUGAAGGGGUCAUUGGGGCGGGUCAGGGGAUUGGGUCGCCAGAUUUGGGCCUUGUCUUGCCUAGAAAUGGGGCAGAAAAUGAAAAAAAAUUUAACUCUUUUUAAAUCCACACAAAUGAAACUUGAACCUUUCUUUUGAAUAAAAAUAAUUUUAAAUUAAUUAUGACUAAUUAAAAAUAAAAUAUGCCAUAUUAUGAAACUAUAUGUAUUAUU
rnacentral:lncRNA from 1 species